GCAGGGCUCCGGGCGGCCGUGACCCUGCUGGAGUCCGGGGGGGACCUCCAGCCCCCCGGGGGGUCCCUGCGCCUCCUCUGCCGAGGCUCCGGGUUCGAUUUGGGGAGCUCCUCCAUGUGCUGGGUCCGCCAGAGACCCGGGCAGGCGCUGGAGUGGCUCGCGGGGAUCAGCAGCAGUGGUGGUAGCACCAGGUACGCGCCAUCGGUCAAGGGCUCGGUCAGGAUCUCGAGGGACAACGGGCAGAGCUCGGUGACGCUGACCAUGAACAACCUCAAGGACGAGGAUUCCGGAUCCUAUUUCUGUGCCAGAGCUGCUGCUGGUUACUACGCUUAUGGUGCUGCUGCUGAUCGUUUUGACCCUGUACCCUUCACCGUGUUCUCACUGUCCCCUGUGCCCCACACCCUUCCCCCAAACCCGUGA